rnacentral:lncRNA from 1 species
GAGAACUGGGAGCUACUGGGAGGGGUUACUGGGGGGACUGGGAGGGGUUUUGGGUGGGUUUGAGGUGGUUUUAGGGGGGUUUUGAGGUGGUGGUUGUGGUUUAGAGGUGCUGGGAGGUGACUGGGAGGACUGGGAGGGGUUACUGGGAGCACUGGGAGGGACUGGGAGGGACUGGGAGGGGUUUGGGGUGGGUUUGGGGCGGUUUUAAUGGGGUUUUGGGGUGGUGGUUGUGGUUUAGAGGUGCUGGGAGGUUACUGGGAGGACUGGGAGGGGUUACUGGGAGCACUGGGAGGACUGGGCGGGGUUACUGGGAGCACUGGGAAGGGUGCAGGAACUCCAGCAGCACCCACAGCCCAAGUUACUGUGGGUUACUGGUCAUACUGGGCUUUUACUGGGCGCUUCCUGGUCAUACUAAGAGCUUACUGCUCUUACUGGGAGCAUACUGGUUCAUACUGGGAGCAUACUGGUGCCCACCUGAGGUCCUUGAUGGAGAAGGAAGCCCUCCAGGCCCACCCAUGGCUCAAGUUACUGGGGGUUACUGGUGGUACUGGUCUCUUAGUGCUCUUACUGGGAGCAUACUGGGAGCAUACUGGUUCCUACUGGUGCCCACCUGAGCUCCUUGAUGGAGAAGGAGCCUCCCCAGGACCUCCAGCAGCACCCAUGGCUCAAGUUACUGGUCAUACUGGGCUCUUAGUGCUCUUACUGGGUGCUUACUUCUCUUACUGGGAGCUUACUGGUCUUACUGGGAAUAUACUGGUCAUACUGGGAGCAUACUGGUUCAUACUGGGAGCGUACUGGUGCCCACCUGAGGUCCUCAAUGGUAAAGGAAGCCCCCCAGCACCUCCAGGAGCACCCAUGGCUCAAGUUACUGGUCAUACUGGUCUCUUGGUGCUCUUACUGGGAGCAUACUGGUUCAUACUGGGAGCAUACUGGUUUCUACUGGUUCCUACUGGUGCCCACCUGAGGUCCCUGAUGGAGAAGGAGCCUCCCCAGGACCUCCAGGAGCACCCAUGGCUCAAGUUACUGGUCAUACUGGGCUCUUGGUGCUCUUACUGGGAGCAUAC